rnacentral:rRNA from 1 species
GAUGAACGCUGGCGGCGUGCCUAAUACGUGCAAGUCGAGCGAACGGACGAGAAGCUUGCUUCUCUGAUGUUAGCGGCGGACGGGUGAGUAACACGUGGAUAACCUACCUAUAAGACUGGGAUAACUUCGGGAAACCGUAGCUAAUACCGGAUAAUAUUUUGAACCGCAUGGUUCAAAAGUGAAAGACGGUCUUGCUGUCACUUAUAGAUGGAUCCGCGCUGCAUUAGCUAGUUGGUAAGGUAACGGCUUACCAAGGCAACGAUGCAUAGCCGACCUGAGAGGGUGAUCGGCCACACUGGAACUGAGGCACGGUCCAGACUCCUACGGGAGGCAGCAGUAGGGAAUCUUCCGCAAUGGGCGAAAGCCUGACGGAGCAACGCCGCGUGAGUGAUGAAGGUCUUCGGAUCGUAAAACUCUGUUAUUAGGGAAGAACAUAUGUGUAAGUAACUGUGCACAUCUUGACGGUACCUAAUCAGAAAGCCACGGCUAACUACGUG